AACACGGGAAGCGCCGAAGAGAAUCCCGAUCCCUAAGAUGAUCAUCGAUGAGGACUUUGAUGAUGAAGAAUCUGUGCCUAAAAAGGCCACGGGAGCAAGAAACAAAAAAACAGUUAUCAACCGGGCUGCAGCAAAGAAAGACCGGUAUGAACAGAUUCUAAAAAAACAGAUGAACCAGGCUCUCCAAAAGAACUCAGAACAAACACGGAAAAGGCGGCUGAGUUCAUCGUCAAG
rnacentral:lncRNA from 1 species